CGGGACACGUGGUAUCCUGUCUGAAUAUGGGGGGACCAUCCUCCAAGGCUAAAUACUCCUGACUGACCGAUAGUGAACCAGUACCGUGAGGGAAAGGCGAAAAGAACCCCGGCGAGGGGAGUGAAAAAGAACCUGAAACCGUGUACGUACAAGCAGUGGGAGCACGCUUAGGCGUGUGACUGCGUACCUUUUGUAUAAUGGGUCAGCGACUUAUAUUCUGUAGCAAGGUUAACCGAAUAGGGGAGCCGAAGGGAAACCGAGUCUUAACUGGGCGUUAAGUUGCAGGGUAUAGACCCGAAACCCGGUGAUCUAGCCAUGGGCAGGUUGAAGGUUGGGUAACACUAACUGGAGGACCGAACCGACUAAUGUUGAAAAAUUAGCGGAUGACUUGUGGCUGGGGGUGAAAGGCCAAUCAAACCGGGAGAUAGCUGGUUCUCCCCGAAAGCUAUUUAGGUAGCGCCUCGUGAAUUCAUCUCCGGGGGUAGAGCACUGUUUCGGCAAGGGGGUCAUCCCGACUUACCAACCCGAUGCAAACUGCGAAUACCGGAGAAUGUUAUCACGGGAGACACACGGCGGGUGCUAACGUCCGUCGUGAAGAGGGAAACAACCCAGACCGCCAGCUAAGGUCCCAAAGUCAUGGUUAAGUGGGAAACGAUGUGGGAAGGCCCAGACAGCCAGGAUGUUGGCUUAGAAGCAGCCAUCAUUUAAAGAAAGCGUAAUAGCUCACUGGUCGAGUCGGCCUGCGCGGAAGAUGUAACGGGGCUAAACCAUGCACCGAAGCUGCGGCAGCGACGCUGAUGCGUUGUUGGGUAGGGGAGCGUUCUGUAAGCCUGCGAAGGUGUGCUGUGAGGCAUGCUGGAGGUAUCAGAAGUGCGAAUGCUGACAUAAGUAACGAUAAAGCGGGUGAAAAGCCCGCUCGCCGGAAGACCAAGGGUUCCUGUCCAACGUUAAUCGGGGCAGGGUGAGUCGACCCCUAAGGCGAGGCCGAAAGGCGUAGUCGAUGGGAAACAGGUUAAUAUUCCUGUACUUGGUGUUACUGCGAAGGGGGGACGGAGAAGGCUAUGUUGGCCGGGCGACGGUUGUCCCGGUU
rnacentral:rRNA from 1 species